AUUGAACGCUGGCGGCAGGCCUAACACAUGCAAGUCGAGCGGAUGAAGGGAGCUUGCUCCUGGAUUCAGCGGCGGACGGGUGAGUAAUGCCUAGGAAUCUGCCUGGUAGUGGGGGAUAACGUCCGGAAACGGGCGCUAAUACCGCAUACGUCCUGAGGGAGAAAGUGGGGGAUCUUCGGACCUCACGCUAUCAGAUGAGCCUAGGUCGGAUUAGCUAGUUGGUGGGGUAAAGGCCUACCAAGGCGACGAUCCGUAACUGGUCUGAGAGGAUGAUCAGUCACACUGGAACUGAGACACGGUCCAGACUCCUGCGGGAGGCAGCAGUGGGGAAUAUUGGACAAUGGGCGGAAGCCUGAUCCAGCCAUGCCGCGUGUGUGAAGAAGGUCUUCGGAUUGUAAAGCACUUUAAGUUGGGAGGAAGGGCAGUAAGUUAAUACCUUGCUGUUUUGACGUUACCAACAGAAUAAGCACCGGCUAACUUCGUG
rnacentral:rRNA from 1 species